rnacentral:rRNA from 1 species
UGAGGAAUAUUGGUCAAUGGGGGCAACCCUGAACCAGCCAAGUCGCGUGAAGGAUGAAGGUCUUAUGGAUUGUAAACUUCUUUUAUACAGGAAUAAAUUGGGGGACGUGUCCCCUUUUGCAUGUACUGUAUGAAUAAGGAUCGGCUAACUCCGUGCCAGCAGCCGCGGUAAUACGGAGGAUCCGAGCGUUAUCCGGAUUUAUUGGGUUUAAAGGGUGCGCAGGCGGGAUGUUAAGUCGGCGGUGAAAUUUUGCAGCUCAACUGUAAAAGUGCCUUCGAUACUGGCCUCCUUGAGUGUGGAUGAAGUAGGCGGAAUUUGUGGUGUAGCGGUGAAAUGCUUAGAUAUCACGAGGAACUCCGAUUGCGCAGGCAGCUUACUAAGCCACAACUGACGCUCAUGCACGAAGGCGUGGGG